rnacentral:rRNA from 1 species
GCGGCAGGCCUAACACAUGCAAGUCGAGCGGGAGAGAAGUAGCUUCGGUAAUUAGUACUGAGCGAGCGGCGGGUGAGUAAUGCUUAGGAAUCUGCCUAUUAGUGGGGGACAACAUCGGGAAACUGGAUGCUAAUACCGCAUACGCUCUACGGAGGAAAGUGGGGGAUCCUUCGGACUCUCGCGUUAUUAGAUGAGCCUAAGUGGGAUUAGCUAGUUGGUGAGGUAAAGGCUCACCAAGGCUACGAUCUAUAGCUGGUCUGAGAGGAUGAUCAGCCACACUGGGACUUGAGACACGGCCCAGACUCCUACGGGAGGCAGCAGUGGGGAAUAUUGGGCAAGGGCGCAAGCCUGAUCCCAGCCAUGCCGCGUGUGUGAAGAAGGCCUUAGGGUUGUAAAGCACUUUCAGUCGAGGAGGAAAGGUUACGUAGUUAAUACCGCCAGCUGAGUCUGUGACGUUACUCGACAGAAGAAGCACCGGCUAACUCCGUGCCAGCAGCCGCGGUAAUACGGAGGGUGCGAGCGUUAAUCGGAAUUACUGGGCGUAAAGCGUGCGUAGGCGGUUUGUUAAGUGGGAUGUGAAAGCCCCGGGCUCAACCUGGGAACUGCAUUCCGAACUGGCAAACUAGAGUGUGGUAGAGGGUGGUAGAAUUUCAGGUGUAGCGGUGAAAUGCGUAGAGAUAGGAAGGAAUACCGAUGGCGAAGGCAGCCUCCUGGACCAACACUGACGCUGAGGUGCGAAAGCGUGGGGAGCACACAGGAUUAGAUACCCUGGUAGUCCACGCCGUAAACGAUGAGAACUAGCCGUUGGGGCCUUUAAGGCUUUGGUGGCGCAGCUAACGCGAUAAGUUCUCCGCCUGGGGAGUACGGCCGCAAGGUUAAAACUCAAAUGAAUUGACGGGGGCCCGCACAAGCGGUGGAGCAUGUUCUUUAAUUCGAUGCAACGCGAAGAACCUUACCACCCCUUGACAUACUCGGAACUUUCUAGAGAUAGAUUGGUGCCUUCGGGAACUCGAGAUACAGGUGCUGCAUGGCUGUCGUCAGCUCGUGUCGUGAGAUGUUGGGUUAAGUCCCGUAACGAGCGCAACCCUUGUCCUUAUUUGCCAGCAGAGUAAAGUCGGGAACUCUAAGGAGACUGCCGGUGACUAAACCGGAGGAAGGUGGGGACGACGUCAAGUCAUCAUGGCCCUUACGGUGUAGGGCUACACACGUGCUACAAUGGCGCAGUACAAAGGGCUGCGAACCUCAGCGAGAGUAAGCGAAUCACAACAAACUUCUCGUAGUCCGGAUUGGGGUCUGCAACUCGACCCCAUGAAGUCGGAAUCGCUAGUAAUCG